rnacentral:lncRNA from 1 species
AAUAAAUAGAAAUUUCUCAUAUAUUAAAUCAACUUGGUUGCAUUACAAAGGACACGAUACAAAGAUUACAACAUGUGAAGCUAGUAGUAAUCCUACUGUUGACCUUGCAACCAACGUCUCAGCCAUUCUGAAACAUUGACACCGAAAAUAUCUGAAACAUAAUGAUUGAAACAUUGGCACUGGACAUGGAAUUCUAAGACACAAUGUGAAACUAUCUAAUAGCACUCCUAUUCUUGACCAAUAUCUGAGCCAUGCAUCAUCGAAUACAGCAAUCUACAACAAAGAAACGAAAUAGGUUAAUAGGGCAAAAAAAUUGGAAGGAGGAGCAACAUGGAAAGGUCGAAGGCAAUGUGAUAGUUAAUCUUGCUGCAUGACUAAUAAUUUUGACUCUUUUUAGUAGUUAUAAAAACUUGUAAGAUUUUGCUAAUGUAGCAUCAACGCGCAAUACCAAGAAUUCAUUACCAAGUUUAACAUCAUCAACUUUAGAUUUAUAUUCGGGGUCGAUACUUUGGAUUAAAGUAAGAGGAGCAUUGUUGUUCGGAUGUGUCCAGUAUAAUAUUUGUAGCUAACAAUAGUCAUUUUAGCUUACAGUACACUAACUCAGCCUGUUUCAUUAGUAAGUUUCACCCUGUUAACAGAAACAAAGUGUUUUAUAGGGGUGGGAAAAUGUAAGGCAGGCAUAAAGUAGUUGAUGAAUUGUUUAACCUAAUCUAACCGAAAUGAGUCUUAUCUCACAGAAGCAGUGUUCUCUUGUACAAAUUAGGUAGGAAAAAAAAGAGAAGCAUGUGUAAGAUAAUAAAAUGUAGUCAAGUAAUGCUAUUAAUACUCCAAACUUUCCAUUCGAUCUGGUGAAGAAUCAUUCACGCAAUAUAGAACUACUAUCAGAAAAUACCUCCUAGUAAAUCCAGCUUGGCACUAAUAUGUUUUAGCGCCAGCAACAUCGACUUGGAACAAUCUAGUCUCUGUAACCUGCUGAUUUGGCAUAUGCAUUAGUAAUCUAUGUUCGGUUGUGCUCACUGAAUCGAUGGCAUCAAAAUAGCCGAACACAUGUGUACGAAAAAUUUAGCGUACUCUUUAUUCUUUUAUAUCAGAACUCUUACAUAAGCUUGCUUUUUUACGGAAAAACUCUUGCACGACCUGGUUCCAUGAUAUGACCUGCUACAUGGCCAAAGCAAUCCAAACCUACGCUGACUUAAUAGCAUCUAGAACGACUCAGACUGCAGUGCCCUUUUACUAGACUAGUAAGGCAUGCUGAGUCCAAGACAUACUAGUACAGCAUGUAGGCUACUAGCUAUGCAAACUCAUUGAACCAUAUAUGGACUACAGAACACAAAUGCUUACGACAUGCAAACGAGACAUGUUGGAAAACUAACUAAUCAACCUAUCAAAAUUAGACUCAAACUUGGCUAGUUAAACUAGCAUGGACACCUACCAAACUACUUAAAAUGAUUCUAACAAUUUAGAAGACCACACCAUUAGUGCAGUGCCAGGCUGCCAACGUAUCAGUAUAUGCCAACAUUUACUAAAUAGGUUUCGCUUUCUUAGUUCACUUGUUUACCGAGAACAUGGAAACUUAGAGCAGUUCCAGUAUGCUCUUCUUUGUCACCAUGGUUGCCGGAUGCUCAAACUGUUGGCCUGAAUAGGUAGAGGAGAAGGUUCUAAGUAUUACAGAGAAGAGGAGAUCCUAGUAAGAUCCAAUAGUUUGGGAUCAGUGAAUUCGACGUACCUGACACACUUGCACAGUCGCCGUAUCUGAUCGCUUAGGUGUCUGUUUAUGCUUGUUAGUAACAUCCCACCACCAUAGUGUGCCUGUAUGUCAGGGAAGCAGAGUGCACAAGAGGAAUAAGUUUGACAGUUUAAGGAGAAUAUGUUACAAACAAGAUAAGAUGUGAGAGGCACCUGGCCAAGAGUUUGUGUGCUGACCAAUCAUGCAUCAUUCUAUCUUUGGAAACGUCUGUGGCUCCCCACAAAAUACAAAUUAGUACAGAGAUUGCAGGAAUUCAGAAGUACCCGUAUUUCCAAAAAAAAUGCA